ensembl:miRNA
GGGAGGAUUGCUUGAGCCCGGGAGAUGGAGGUUGCAGUGAGCUGAGAUCCUGCCACCGCACUCCAGCCUGGGCAAGAGAGUGAGACCU